AAGUCAUAACAGCACAUGACUGUGCAAAACUCUCACCACCAUGACCAAAGAUUGAAGCCCUCCACAGAAUGCCAUUGUCACUCAAUAGUGCUAUGUUUUUCUAAGGAGAUGUAGGA
rnacentral:snoRNA from 1 species